AUGAACGCUGGCGGUAUGCUUCACCCCUGCAAGUCGAACGGACUCUUCGGAGUUAGUGGCGGACGGGUGAGUAACGCGUGAGAAUCUGGCUUUGGGUUCGGGACAACCACUGGAAACGGUGGCUAAUACCGGAUGUGCCGAGAGGUAAAAGAGAAAUUGCCUGAAGAUGAGCUCGCGUCUGAUUAGCUAGUUGGUGAGGUAAAGGCUCACCAAGGCAGCGAUCAGUAGCUGGUCUGAGAGGAUGACCAGCCACACUGGGACUGAGACACGGCCCAGACUCCUACGGGAGGCAGCAGUGGGGAAUUUUCCGCAAUGGGCGAAAGCCUGACGGAGCAAAACCGCGUGAGGGAAGAAGGCUCUUGGGUUGUAAACCUCUUUUCUUAGGGAAGAACAAAAUGACGGUACCUAAGGAAUCAGCAUCGGCUAACUCCGUG
rnacentral:rRNA from 1 species